GACGCUCCGAGGCGCGGCGCCGGGGCCGCCGCUGCUAUAUAGGGCGGAGGCUCCAAUCCCGCCGAGACACGUCAGACCGGCCGCCCGCCCCGCCCGCUGCGGGGUCCCUACAGCGCCCGGGAGCCGACCAACUCUUUAAGAGUUCUGCGGCCUGACAGGGGGAACAUGGUCUAAGAAUGGAGUCCUGUGAGUGCUUUGAGAAGACUCUAAGGAAAGUCUUAUGGCCACAGUUUCUUCAGAAUGCAGAAUUUUUCCUGGACUGUGUUUUGUGUUCCUCAGGGUGUAGCAGAGUGAGUUUACUUCAGAUUAUUCAUUACUGCUUGCUGAUGUUAUUGAAUUAAAUGCUUAAACUAUCCUUUACAUGACUCUCUGGUUUUGCCAUGUUCAGCUUGUCCUUGUGACUGUACACUUUAUUCAUGUGACUCUUAACCUUAUGAGUAAAAAUGUCUGAUGCUCUG
rnacentral:lncRNA from 1 species